rnacentral:lncRNA from 1 species
UCUCUUUUCUUCUGUUCACAAUCUGUUCACCCUCCAGGUCUCUUUUAAAACAUGUUCUCUACAGAGUGCUUAUCUUGCAUUUCCAGCUGUCAGAUCUGUUUCUAUAUUCUGCUGGAUUUUCACUAGUACAUUAAACUUAACAGAUAUAAAAGUGAACUCAUUCUAUUUUCCCCAAACCAAUUCUUUCUCUCGACUUUGAAAUUUUGACUUAUGAUAGCAUCAUUCUUUCAGUCACUGGGAUUGGAAACUGGCAGAGACAUAGUUGUGAUUUUUUUUUUUCCUGUUGAUCACCCUUCCCAGUCAUUUCUCCAACAAGUAGCCACUUUUUUAGAUUCAAAAUCCUUUCAUCUUUAUCUCUGGACAUUGUCUUGCUUGUCUCUUCUCUGUGCCAAUUGCUAGUUCCUCUAGCUUGAAGGAGAACACGCUUCCCAGGUUGUCUUUGAUAUUCCCAUUUCUUCAUAAUGUAAUUUAUAUACCCACUCCAAUUUUUACAGUAACUGCUAUAUUAAUCUUCCCUAAGCAUAGAAUUAAUCAUCUAAUUCUCCAAUGCAAAAUGGUUUUCCAUUUCCUAAUAAAUUAAAUGAUAUACAUCCAACCCAAAAUAUAAUUACCAUUUCCCUUUCUAAACUUAUGCCCCAUUAUUUCAUUACUUCUUCUUUUUUUACAAAGUGCAUUAGGUUUUUUUAAAUGGCUGCACCUGCAGCAUAUGGACAUUCUCAGGCCAGAGGUCAAAAUGAAGCUGCAGCUGGAGCCUACGUCACAGCCAUGGCAACACCACAUACAAGCUGCAUCUGUGACCUAAGCCACAGCUUGCAGCAAUGCUGGAUCCUUAGUGCACUGAGUGAGGCCAGGGAUUGAAUCCACAUCCUCACAGACACAGUGGCGGGUUCUUAACCUGCUGAGCCACAAUGGGAACUCCAGAUUUAAUUUUUAAAAAGUUAAAUUUUUGAAUAAAGAAUUCUUGCAAAAAGCCCACAACUUUAUGGAAGAAUAGGGGAAAAGACAGUUGGGUCAUAGGUGGACAAACAGAAAAAAUAAAGGUCUGAAUUGUUCAUACUUAAAGGAAUUCAAUUUUUAUUAAAUAAGAGUUAAGUCCCAUUAUUUCUUUGAGUAGGCCUGUGUGUAUUUUCCACUCACAUUAUAAUAUGCAUCAAAUUCUAAAUACUCCUUUCAUUUUUUUCAAAACUUAUCCAUUUAUAUGGAAGUUCCCAGGCUAGGGGUGGAAUUGGAGCUACAGCUUCCGGCCACAGCCACAUCCACAGAAACCCAGGAUCUGAGCCACAUCUGCAAUGUACAGCACAGCUCAUGGGCAACACCGGAUCCUUAACCCACUGAGUGAGGCCAGGGAUUGAACCCACAUGCUCAUGGAUCCUAGUCAGGUUCUUUAACCACUGAGCCACAAAGGGAACUCCCCAUUUAUUAAUUUCUUAUACUAUUUCCUCUGCCUGGUACAUUUUAUUUUCCAUUUCUAUUUAUUGAAACUUUAAAAUUGCCCCUCAGUGUGAAGCCCUCCCUGAUUUUUCCUGACUUCUGAAAUUAGAAGUGUUUGCCUCUCUAGAAAAAUUCACUUCCUAAUUAAAAGCAAGCUAGAAACUAGAGAUGUGCUAACAGGUAAACUUAGUGAUCAUCUGGUAGGGAAGGGUAAAUAGUUAAGUUAAGGUCAGUUACUGGGUUGCUUAAACAUAAAAUACUAAAUACUAACCGGGUGCUGCUAAUUCUACAGUAUUGGGAAAAAAUAUGAGAAGGCAAUAAACUAGAUAAUGCAACAGAGAUUAUGUCCUAUUUUGAAUCUCGGUUAACUGUGCCAUUCUUGUUUACAUCCCCCCUUCCUUUUUUUUCAGUAAUAAAAUUGACAAUUCCAAUACCCCUAUCCACAACAGUGGCUCCUCAUGGCAGGAGUUCUUAUGGUUGAGACAGGAAUGGGUCAGUAGCUUCUUCACUGUGGCGAACAUAUUCAAAUCUUAGAGCAAGUGUCACACAUUUAUUACAGAGCAUUCACUUCAACUCCCACGCUCAAAUUUCCUCCCUGACCAAGAUACUCAGGAGUGUACAUUAUGUCUCACACAAAAUGAUAAGCUUUUUGAAGGCAGGUACUAUUCACUGUUGCAACUUCCAGAUGACAUACUGCAGCCUAUGGUGCAGAGUUGAAACUAAAGAAACUUCUGUUAUGAUUGAAUGAACAGGCAAUGGAAAAAUUUCCAUAUUUUUCCUUAAUUAUUGAAUUAGGGUAAUUUUUCCUACUUGAAUAUAAUGUAAGAUAUUCCUAUUUUAAGGCUGAGGGCAGAUACCAUGGUUUCAUGCUUCGUUCUGAGAAUUACUUAACAAAAUAUCUGAUUCUUCUCUCUUACUUAUUAGAAGAUUGAAGCCUGGAAAAUCUUAAUUUUAAUCAUUGACAAUGGAGUGUAGUUUUAUUCCAGACACUAAAGUCUUUUAAUCUUUAAAUUACUUUUCUUUGGCAAAUAUAAUGAGAUCUUAAAGAGGGAAAAGAAGAAAAUAUGAAUGAGUAUAGCUCAUUGCUUACAAUUCUUAUUAAAGGGAAAUUUAUGCCUCACACAGAUUAUUUUGUUAAGAGACAAAAUUAAAUAUUUGACAAAAUGUCUGAACCAAUAUUUCAUUUUCUUUUCAAAAGUAGUUGAAUAUCCAUCAAAAUACAAGUCUAGGAAAAAUGCGAGAGGGACUUAGUAUUAAUGAUGUAUUUUAAAGGAAAUGUUAAUUAAAUUAUCUAUGAACUUAUUUCAAGCCCAAGAUGUAACAAAAAUAUCCCUCUGGACAAGCAAAAAUUUAUAUUACGUCUAAUCUCAGUUUGGACACAUGUUAAAGCGUAAUUAUUUUAACAAUAUCAACUAUUUGAGUCCAACUCUGUAAUAGGCUUUUUCUUAGUAUAUUGCAUACAUUAUAUUAAUGGAUUAAGUGCUACCAAAUGCUUUACAUAUAUUAUCUCUAAUAUCUCAAUAAUUUUGCAGUGAAGAUAUUAUUAUCUUACUGGACAUAGUAAGACACUAAAGCUCUUAUAAAUUAGUGCCAGAUUAGAUAGAGAUAUAAGUAUUCCUAACUCCAAAGAUUUUUUAUGUCAUCACACGGAGAAUAUUUUCCAAUCCUACUGAAGGAUUUUAUGUAGAAUGUUGUGAUAAGUCUUAAGUACUUUAUCACCUCUUUUGCUUUCCUUUAUGUUUAGCUAUAAGUCAAGUAAAGAUAGGGUUAAGAAGAGAUGACCUAUUGCCCAUCAAUUAAGAACCUUUCCUUUAUAAAACAAUCUCUCUUACUAUACUGUAACACCCACUUUGAUUUGGAUAUAUUUGAUAAAAUGCUUCAUACUGUCUCACACAUACACCAUGUACAAGUACAAAUGCAAAUUAUGUUUUGUCUAGUUAGAGUCCAAGAAGAGGGACAAAACUGGAUAUGAGUAUUUUUCAAAAACAUAGGAACACAAACAAAAUGUAGGCAGAAAUUUAAAAUCUCUGGUAUAAAACAAAAGUAGAAAUUUUACUCUAUAAGUGCUUUAAAGUAAGAAUAUCCAAAAAGCUCCCAAGUCCUACCAAACGACUUGAAGAAGGCACUUGCUAUGUGCCACUGCCUUAUACACUGUAUCUGACCAUGCUUUAUGUUAUCAUCAUCCCUCUCUCUCUCUCUCUCUUUUUUUUUUUUUUUUUUUUGUCUUUUAGGGCCACACCCGCAGCAUAUGGAGGUUCCCAGGCUAGGAAUCCAAUCAGAGCCGUAGCUGCCUGCCUACGCCACCACCACAACCACAACCACAGCAACUCUGGAUCCGAGCUGCAUCUGUGAACUACACCACAACUCACGGCAAUGCUGGAUCCUUAACCCACUGAGCGGGGUCAGGGCUCAAACCCACGUCCUCAUGGAUGCUAAUCGGGUUGGCUAACUGCCAGGCCACAACAGGAACGUCAAUGUCAUCAUUUCUGAACUGAUAGCCGAUAACUACAAAUUAGUCCAAGUCAAAUGGUGACUCUUGGAGCGGUCAAUAAGAAAACAAUCAGUAGAGUAGAUGUUUGUAGGGUUUGUCAGCAUAAGGCAAGGGAUAUUUUAGUGUGUCUAGGUCAAUAUUUCAUGUGCAUAAAUAGAAAUAUGUUGUUCAGUUUAAACAGUGUUCGUCUAUCUGCCUUUGUAUAUGUGGCAUCAUAAAGUGGAACACACUAUUGGGAUUUAUUGUUAGGCCCCUCUGUUUGGUAGAGACCUAUAAUCAGAGACUCCACUGUUUAUACACAUGUAGGAUGGUCCUAGAUGGAUCUACUAGGAUGGAUUGUGCAGCCCUGCUUUUCUUCUUUAGAUUUCAGCACUAAAUCUGUCACUAUAACCCUGUCUUAGUCCAUUUGGGAUGCUAAACAAAAACGCCAUAAAUUGGGUUGCUCACAAACAGAAACUUGUUCUCACAGUUCUGAAGGAUGGGAAAUCCAAAAUUAAGGCACCAGCUGACUUGGUAUUAGUCAUGGCCAUCUUCCCAAAUGUACCUUCCCUUCACAUGGCAGCCGGGGCAAAGAGUCUCUUUGGGACUUCCUCUAUAAGGGCACUGAUCCCAUUUAUGAAGGAACCACCUUCAUGACCUAAUCACCUCCCACUUCCUAAUAACCAUCACAGUGGGGAGGUUAGGAUUUCAACUUGUUAUUUUCGAGGGGACACAAACAUUCAGACUAUAGCAAUAUCUGACUAAAUAAAAUUCAUGUAGCACAAUAUAUUACAUGAGUCAGACACAACUUAGAAUAGAUUUACAAGGAGAUCCUGCUGAAUAGCAUUGAGAACUUUGUCUAGAUACUCAUGUUGCAACAGAAGAAAGGGUGGGGGAAAAACUGUAAUUGUAAUGUAUACAUGUAAGGAUAACCUGACCCCCUUGCUGUACAGUGG